rnacentral:rRNA from 1 species
UGGGGAAUAUUGGGCAAUGGGCGAAAGCCUGACCCAGCAACGCCGCGUGAGUGAUGAAGGCCUUCGGCUUGUAAAACUCUUUGGACAGGGACGAAGAAAGUGACGGUACCUGUAGAACAAGCCACGGCUAACUACGUGCCAGCAGCCGCGGUAAUACGUAGGCGGCGAGCGUUAUCCGGAUUCAUUGGGCGUAAAGCGCUCGUAGGCGGUCUGUUAGGUCGGCAAGUUAAAUCCGGGGGCUCAACCCCCGUCCGCUUCCGAUACCGGCAGACUUGAGUUUGGUAGGGGAAGGUGGAAUUCCUAGUGUAGCGGUGGAAUGCGCAGAUAUUAGGAAGAACACCGGUGGCGAAGGCGGCCUUCUGGGCCAUAACUGACGCUGAGGAGCGAAAGCGAGGGGAGCGAACAGG